rnacentral:rRNA from 1 species
UACGGAGGGUGCAAGCGUUGCUCGGAAUUACUGGGCGUAAAGGGCAAGUAGGUGGUCUCGUUUGUCGGGGGUGAAAGCCUUGGGCUUAACCCAAGAAGUGCCUUCGAAACGGCGAGACUAGAGUACUGGAGAGGUUCGUGGAAUUCCCGGUGUAGCGGUGAAAUGCGUAGAGAUCGGGAGGAACACCAGAGGCGAAGGCGACGAACUGGACAGUUACUGACACUCAACUGCGAAAGCGUGGGUAGCAAACAGG